UACGUAGGGUGCAAGCGUUAAUCGGAAUUACUGGGCGUAAAGCGUGCGCAGGCGGUGAUGUAAGACAGAUGUGAAAUCCCCGGGCUCAACCUGGGAACUGCAUCCGAAACUGCCUUGCUAGAGUAUGGGAGAGGGAAGUGGAAUUUCCGGUGUAGCGGUGAAAUGCGUAGAUAUCGGAAGGAACAUCAGUGGCGAAGGCGACUUCCUGGACCAAUACUGACGCUCAGGUGCGAAAGCGUGGGGAGCAAACAGG
rnacentral:rRNA from 1 species